GAUGAACGCUGGCGGCGUGCCUAAUACAUGCAAGUCGAGCGAACGGACGAGAAGCUUGCUUUUCUGAUGUUAGCGGCGGACGGGUGAGUAACACGUGGAUAGCCUACCUAUAAGACUGGGAUAACUUCGGGAAACCGGAGCUAAUACCGGAUAAUAUUUUGAACCGCAUGGUUCAAAAGUGAAAGACGGUCUUGCUGUCACUUAUAGAUGGAUCCGCGCUGCAUUAGCUAGUUGGUAAGGUAACGGCUUACCAAGGCAACGAUGCAUAGCCGACCUGAGAGGGUGAUCGGCCACACUGGAACUGAGACACGGUCCAGACUCCUACGGGAGGCAGCAGUAGAGAAUCUUCCGCAAUGGGCGAAGGCCUGACGGAGCAACGCCGCGUGAGUGAUGAAGGUCUUCGGAUCGUAAAACUCUGUUAUUAGGGAAGAACAUAUGUGUAAGUAACUGUGCACAUCUUGACGGUACCUAAUCAGAAAGCCACGGCUAACUACGUG
rnacentral:rRNA from 1 species